rnacentral:rRNA from 1 species
UACAGAGGUCUCAAGCGUUGUUCGGAUUCAUUGGGCGUAAAGGGUGUGUAGGUGGCGCGCUAAGUCGGGUGUGAAAUUUCGGAGCUUAACUCCGAAACUGCAUUUGAUACUGGCGUGCUUGAGGACUGGAGAGGAGACUGGAAUUCAUGGUGUAGCAGUGAAAUGCGUAGAGAUCAUGAGGAAGACCAGUGGCGAAGGCGGGUCUCUGGACAGUUCCUGACACUGAGACGCGAAAGCGUGGGGAGCAAACAGG